CUGAUGAUGACCUGAGUUCAGUCCCUGAAG
rnacentral:piRNA from 1 species